GCACUCUCUUUGGUAGCACAUACACUAAAAUUGGAAUGAUACAGAGAAGAUUAGCACAGUUCCUGUGCAAGGAUGACACAGAAAUUUGUGAAGCGUUCCAUAUUAAA